CCUACGGGGGGCUGCAGUUUCGAAUCCUUCACAAUGGGCGAAAGCCUGAUGGUGCGACGCCGCGUGAGGGAUGAAGGUCUUCGGAUUGUAAACCUCUGUCACCGGGGAAGAAACGCUUCAAGUUAAUAGUUUGAAGCCUGACUUAACCCGGAGAGGAAGCAGUGGCUAACUCUGUGCCAGCAGCCGCGGUAAUACAGAGACUGCAAGCGUGAUUCGGGUUCGCUGGGCGUCAAGGGUGCGCAGGGGGAAAGCCCGGAGCUUAACUCCGGAAGUGCUCCUCAAACUACAUGGCUAGAGCAUUGGAGAGGGUAGCAGAAUUCACGGUGUAGCAGUGAAAUGCGUAGAUAUCGUGAGGAAUACCAGAGGCGAAGGCGGCUACCUGGACAAUUGCUGACGCUCAGGCACGAAAGCGUGGGGAGCAAAAGGGAUUAGAUACCCUAGUAGUC
rnacentral:rRNA from 1 species